AUGGAGAGGAAAGGGGAGACGGAGGAGGUAGGAAAGAGCUCCGGAAGUGUGCCGGCAAUUAUGGAGAAGAGUCCUCCUGCUCCGACCUCCUCGCCUGAGGGAGUGGGGAAGACGGCGCCGAGGCGGCCCCGUGGGGAUGGCUCCCCUCUGAUCAUCGACAUGGAGGCCGCGCGGAGAGCGGUCAGAGGAUGCUUGGUGGUAGGGCGAUUCCUCUCGCCUUUCCAAGUUAAUCCUCGGAUCCUCGUCGACGACCUUCGUGCAUCGUCGGCCUGGAGGUUGCAAGGCGGGGUCACUGUUCAGGAGGUGGCCAGCGCCGACGGGAGGUUCAUCCUCAACUUCUCCAAUGACGUAGACAGACGUUUCGUGUUGAAGGCCUAG
rnacentral:rRNA from 1 species